UAAAUUGAUGGCGACCGGCGCACGGGUGAGUAUCGCGUAUCCAACUUUCCCAUAACUAGGGGAUAAUCCGUCGAAAGGCGGUCUAAUACUCUAUGUUGUCUAUUUAUGGCCUCAUAUUUAGACGAAAGAUUUAUCGGUUAUGGUUAGGGAUGCGUCCGAUUAGGUAGUAGGCGGGGUAACAGCCCACCUAGCCUACGAUCGGUAGGGGUUCUGCGAGGAAGGUCCCCCACAUUGGAACUGAGACACGGUCCAA
rnacentral:rRNA from 1 species